CCCCGAUCAGUGGCGACCGGGUGAGUAACACGUGAGUAACCUGCCCCAGACUCUGGGAUAACAUCGGGAAACCGGUGCUAAUACCGGAUAUGAGACGAGAUUGCAUGAUCAUCGUCUGGAAAGAUUUAUCGGUCUGGGAUGGACUCGCGGCCUAUCAGCUAGUUGGUGAGGUAAUGGCUCACCAAGGCGACGACGGGUAGCCGGCCUGAGAGGGCGACCGGCCACACUGGAACUGAGACACGGUCCAGACUCCUACGGGAGGCAGCAGUGGGGAAUAUUGCACAAUGGGCGCAAGCCUGAUGCAGCAACGCCGCGUGGGGGAUGAAGGCCUUCGGGUUGUAAACCCCUUUUAGCAGGGAAGAAGCGAAAGUGACGGUACCUGCAGAAAAAGCGCCGGCUAACUACGUGCCAGCAGCCGCGGUAAUACGUAGGGCGCAAGCGUUGUCCGGAAUUAUUGGGCGUAAAGAGCUCGUAGGCGGUUUGUCGCGUCUGCUGUGAAAGUCCGAGGCUCAACCUCGGAUCUGCAGUGGGUACGGGCAGACUAGAGUGUGGUAGGGGAGACUGGAAUUCCUGGUGUAGCGGUGGAAUGCGCAGAUAUCAGGAGGAACACCAAUGGCGAAGGCAGGUCUCUGGGCCAUAACUGACGCUGAGGAGCGAAAGCGUGGGGAGCGAACAGGAUUAG
rnacentral:rRNA from 1 species